ensembl:lncRNA
UCUGAUUCCUAAAUCUUCCAUAAUAAGUUGCAAGCAUCUCUGGGUAACAACUUGCAGACAAGCUAAGAAUAGAAAAGUCAACCACUGAAUUUCAUAUUUUGCUUUUCAUUUUUUUCUUGGACAUGCUCACUAUGUCAAGCGGUUGCAUUUCCUGUGAGGUCAGGCACCAGACAAUAGCUUUCCAAGAGCAUGGAAACAACAGAAACCCAUGAAACAAUCCCACAUCCAGAAGCACGGAGCUGCUGGCACUCACUGAAAGGUUUCCUGACUAGGUCAGCAACAUGGCAGAGACUGCACUUGCUCAAAGCCUGAAGGACGUUGGGAGGUGGAGUGAAGAGGCCAUCCCGCUUCUCAGACACGCCAUUGAUGAUGAGCGAUCAGCUCUAGAGACCACAUGUGAAGGUUUCUUGAGUAACACAGAGAAGUGGAGGAAAAUGGCAGAGCUCAUCCUAUGGCAGAGGUGGAAGAAGGAGCCCGGUGCCACGUGACCAGUGCCCUGGCUUGCAGAAGGAGUGUGAAACAAGUGAGUUAAGGUGGGAAUGAGUACUUCUUUCUUUCUCCUCUUCCGCCAUGAAAUAGCAACUUCUAAAAAAGGGGUGCUGCAGAUGGUGAAGUCUUAAAUUACCACGGUGAGCUUUGCCGGAGGGCGUCUCUGGUCCCCUUAGAUGGAGCCCGUCUGCAGCUGAUUCACAGAAGGUCACGUUUGCCUGUCCUGCCCUACUCCUGAGCUUACUCAUGUAGUCAGCGCGGCUGACAGGGAUGAAAGAGCGGAACUGCUUGAACACAUUUGAUAUGGCUCUAGACAGGCAGACUGAUUUGCAAACUCAAAGCACAGGAGAGACUGAGAGCGAUUGCAGCGGAUUACUAAUUAGCUCGGAAACACAGAGGCGAGGCGUGAGGGAGGAACGUGGCUGCAGCUGAGUGGAAAGGUCAAUCUGAAAAGGAACAAACAGCGAGAACAGAGCAAAAGACUGUAGCUGGGAAACAGCCAGAGUCCUUUUCUUCUGCGUUCUCAUAGCUUAAUGCCUCCACUGGACUGCUUCCGAAGGAGCAGUCUUUCUGCAGGUGCAGUGUUGUAACAGCUGUGAAACAUUAGUCACCGUUUUAUCAGUGUUAAAACGUUCAAGACAAUGCUUCUAAGAGCACUAUCACUCAACAUACUAUCUAGUAAUUCUAUUGCAACAAGUCAGAAGAUUGAAUAAAACCUUCCAUUCAUGUUGCUCAUCUUGUUCUGUACCCGUGACUGGAGAUCAGCAAGUCUGAGUAAACCCCUUCCAGCUGUAAGCUCUGUGUGUUUAUACUGCAACAGUUCAGUAAAUCCAUUCAGCUUCCAGUAAGAAAUGUCUUUGUUUAUGGCUCUUUUACGAUACUCCCAAUCACCGUCAAAGGAUUCUACAGAAAUAUUUUUAAAAGAUUCAGUUCUGACUUAAUCAAUGCCAUUGUAGAUCAGGAAUAACUCCAUUAAGCUGAUAUGAUGUAAAAUCUAGUUUAUAUUUGCAUGCAGCAGUGAUGUGAGCCUUCUGAAAACUUAGGAGUUCAGAUACACUUAUGGCAAGUCCUGUGUAUGAUAAUUUACUUAAUGAACAUACUGAUGCCCAUGUUAUCUCAACUAAAUUGAGUAGUUGAGACUAAACUCUGAACCCCCUGAAAUCUUGACAAGUAUUGCCAUAGAUAUAGCUGACUCAGGAUUUCACAGAAUACAUAUUUAUUAGGGACUGCUGUUAAGAGAAUUCUCCCGUGUUUUAAAUCACUCUGCAGUGGUGAAUAAUUAAUACUCAGAAAAAGUUCAAUAUUUCUUUCUGCAAGUAGGCCAAGCCACCAGCCUACUGGAUUUGAAGAUGCAGCUCAAAUAUGCAUAAUCUCCUAUUUCAACAGUAUCGCCUGCACUUGCAGCAGAGCACUGCACACUCACUCUCUCUUCCUUGCCUCCGUAGUUUCUUUACUGUGGAAAAGAGUUUACACCUAACAAUGACAUUAAAACAGGAGUUAGUUACUGUACGUGUUUGCACGCCAGAAGCAGCUGCUGUCAGUAUGAAAGGGGAAAGGAAGUGAGGAGAUCCUGCACUGCUCUGGAAAAUACAGGUGCUGAGAGGAAACUUUUAUCCAGAAGAGUUUGUCAAAGAUAAGGGCAUAGGAAAGGAGAAAAGCGAUGAAGAACACUUCAGAGAUAAAAACAUUAGCUCCAGCCCAAUCUCCAGUAAAUAAAUUUACAUCUCUAACUGCUGCUUAUGACUAUCCAGAGAGAGGUACCACGUGAAUGGGAGGAGAGCAGAGCUAACCUCACCUCUGUGACUGUGAGCAGAGGUAAGCAUUAGUAUUCUCACUUCAGAUGAACUUCAUUUUCUGAACCUAAAUAAGGAACCUUUCCUUGCAGGAAGAUGCUUCUGUAAUCAGCCCUUCUCACGUAGGCCACCAAAAGCUAGCUUACAUCAUUCAGGUUCAGAAUUAGUUUGUAGAGUUUUAUGUUUUGUAAAGUUACACUCUUAAGACACAGUAAAAACUCCAGUAAAAAACACUAACUGACUUUUUAUAGGACUGGAGAGUGCAAUUGUAGAAAACCUAGAUGUAAUUCAAGGAGACCACCGUUCUGCCUUAUAACUGAAAGGUCAUUUACUAGACUUUUAUCCUGUUUUAAGGCAGCUUUUAAUUGAUAUUUGUGUCUUGUUCAAGGCCCUGUCUCUCUGCUAUGCUAUAUUAUACACAGCAAUGUGAUGGCCUCUUUGGAACAAAUAACAAUUUUGAAAUAUAUGCUUUCAAGAUAAUUGGCCUUUUUGCUUUCACUUGUGGCUCAAACAAUGUACCAACCUGACUAUUUCAAAUAACAAACAUAUGCUCUGUUUAAUGGGAUGGGAGACUAAUUACCUGUGAGAAAACAGAAAUGGCAGCCAGUCAUAGAAAUCUUUUCCAUUAUUGAAAAGCAUCAUAAAAUAUUAGUCAGCUUUUAGUGUGAUGGUUCAAUAGUGGAUAAAUGGGGAUGAAUGUGCCAGAAUUGGCUCACCCUGUCAAACUAGACUGUUCAGGCACUGAAUGAGACAAGUGACUGAGGUGAGCACCUGUGGGAGGGAGGUGUUCUAGUUGCAGAGAAAGUGUGAAAUAAUUUGAACAGCAACAAGAAAAGUAAUGAGUGAGAUUGCAUUAAAUUAAAUGGCAAUACAGUGAAUAUAAAAUUCCUAUAAUAUUUUUGCCCCUCAAGCCACAAGGUAUCAGGCCACUAAAAUGGAAUGCACUUAUUUUUUUUCCCCCCCACACAAGGGUAUUGUCUAAGCUAUUUGAGGGACAGUAACUUAGAUCAACAUCACAAGAUUUAAACAUCCAAUUCACUUUCAAUGCUUUUAGAUCAUAGAUUCCACAGGGCACAGUUUGGGGUAUGUCUUAUAGUUACCUUAACAAGUUUGGCUGUAUAUACGCUACUUGCUUACUUUGCUGUGUUUUUCUGCUACGUAUAAAAAUCAAAACUAAAUUGGUCAAUUUCAUUUCCACGUUCUCAUUUGUUAAAGUACACUCACUGUUCAAGCUGGCAAUACUUCAGACAUUAGAAAGUCACAAAACCAGAUUUGAUUGCUAUGCAUGCAGAGGGAAGCUGGGGACAACCUGUGGUAUUUCUUACAGCCCAGGCCCCUCCUACUUUGUACACUCUGGUCCUUUCUCAUUGCAUUACCUUUGCAGGUCCAGGAACAAGUCUGGUUUCCUAGACAGAAGGGCCCUUUGCAACAUGGUGAACUGCCCUCCCAAUGCUACUAACAGUGGCAUUUACUUUUCAUGUGGAUCUCAACUCUACCAGCAGCCUAUAACACCACAGCAAGUGACCUCCAAGGGGUCUACUGAGCCUCAUUGAGCAAUGAAAACAUGAUGACCUUGAUCAAAUAUCUCAGCUGUAGUGAACAUCAAAUAACAGUAAUUGCAAAGGUUGACAAUUAUUUGAGGGACAAGAAGUCUGGAGAUUUUGUAUCAGUAGAAUUCUAACAGCUUCAACAGAAUGCUCUUGAUUUAAGUUGGAAUAAUUGAAAAAUUAAUCACAUCUACAUAUCACCAGAAGAAAGGAGAAAUAAACCAUCUUGGAAUUUGUAGUUCACUAUAAUCUGAAGUAGAGAAGUCCUUGGAGAAAUCCAGUCUAAAAUAAUGCCAAACCUCAGCACCGUAUUAGGAAACAUAUCUUUACACUACAGACCAGUUGUUAUUCCAGAGUUGCUUCCUGGUUGAAGCACAACAUGCUUUGUUACUCCAUGCUCACCUGUGUGAAUACAACAGGUUUGGCUACAGAUGAAUGCAUAUAAAGAGUUGGAAGAGAUCACGUUCAGUGCUUUGUCCUUCGUUCUGGUGAGGUGCACUUCUGUUUCCCUACUGAGAGCUCCUAGGCACAUGGAAGCUGUAAGGCCAACCACCUAACCAUAGGAGGGAUGGGAUCGCUGGCAAACAACACAUCCUGCUUCACCUCAAGCACCCUCCACUCUCCAGAAGGUACUUUCCUGCACAUGGCUGAGGAGCUGCUGGAAGACUGAAGGGGCACUCCCUUCAGCUGUGGGGCUGCCCCACCUCCAGUGCUGCUCUUCUGGCACCCAGCUCCUCCCAUGCUCCUUGUGCAGCUGGUGGCCCAGGAAGGAGCCAGCAUUGCCUCAAAUGGAACAGAGAGCAUCAGGCUGUUUUCUCUUUAAAAGAAGAACAAAAACAAAACAAAAACUAGGCUUUCCCCUUUGUUUCUGCCUUCCUGACUCCCUGGUUCAUGUCCUUCAUUAAGGCGUCUUUCUCAGUCAAGUUCUGCAAGGGCCUUCUAGCAAAAAGAUAUCAACACAACAACAUCGCAAAAGCUUUUCUCAGCUGACAAUAAAGAAGAUUUUGCAAAAUCCAAACCUCACCAAACAAGUCACUGGCAAGCAGGUUAGAAACGAACCGGAACUGCAAACAGUGACAACAUCAUCUCAGAGUGCUUCUCUGCAUUAUAAAAGAGAAAUUAAGCAAGGUACAGAAAGGAAGGAGAAUGCAUUUCGAUGCCUUCAGCAUGCG